rnacentral:rRNA from 1 species
UACGGAGGGUGCGAGCGUUGUCCGGAAUCAUUGGGCGUAAAGCGCGUGUAGGCGGCUCGAUAAGUCUGCUGUGAAAGUCCAAGGCUCAACCUUGGGAUGCCGGUGGAUACUGUCGAGCUCGAGUCCGGAAGAGGAGUGUGGAAUUCCUGGUGUAGCGGUGAAAUGCGCAGAUAUCAGGAAGAACACCUAUGGCGAAGGCAGCACUCUGGGACGGUACUGACGCUGAGACGCGAAAGCGUGGGGAGCGAACAGG